rnacentral:rRNA from 1 species
AACGAACGCUGGCGGCAGGCUUAACACAUGCAAGUCGAGCGCCCCGCAAGGGGACCGGCAGCCGGGUGAGUAACGCGUGGGAACUUACCCUUACGUUCGGGACCUCCCUGUGAAACUGGAAUUACUACCGAAAGUGCCCUCUGGUGGAAAGAUUUAUCGUAUAAGGCUCGGCUCGCGUUGGAUUAGCUGGUUGGUGGGGUAAUGGCAUACCAAGGCGACGAUCUAUAGCUGGUCUGAGAGAAUGAGCAGCCACAUUGGGACGAGGACACAGCACAAACUCCUACGGGAGGCAGGAGAGGGGGAUAUAGGAAAGCGGGGGGAGGGAUGAAGCAGCCAGGACGGGAGAGUGAUGAAGUCAUUGAAGAUGUAAAGCGCUAUCAACGGAGAAGAUAAUGACGGUAUCCGAAGAAGAAGCCCCGGCUAACUUCGUG